CCUUGAGAGAGGGUAUAAUCUCUCACCCUUUGUUUUAUUUUUAUUAUAAUAAUUAUUUUUCUCCCUGCAUCACAGGGACUCAAGAACUCAUGGUUGUAUGUCAAUUCUUUUUCUUUUCUCAUAAACAUUGAUAUGAUCUAUUGUAGAUAAAAUUUUCCUUUGAUUCUAUUUUGUUCGUUUGUUGUUGCAGUAUUAGAUUAGAUUCAUAAGUUCAAUUGGGGUCGUAUGUGGUAUUAUACUAUGUUGUUGGUUAGUAUUGUUUGUUUCAUUUUAGGGUGGAUAAUAUGGUGAAGCCUGCACAAGUAUGUAUGCAAGCUCUAACUCAUUUCAAUAGAGAAAGUGCUCUCUAUAUUGAACUCCAUGCUGAGGAAGGAUGAAGCAAUUGACCAUUUUGCUAGUGGGCUUAAAAGUAAGCUCUGGGUUUUGCACAUACUCCUUACCUCGCAGGAUGAUUUUUAAUCCGCAAGUGACACAUACUUAAGGCAUUUGGUCCCACGUUACAAUUCUGGCGUUUUAAACAAGAUGAGGCGAACCUUAGGAUUCCAUCAAUUGUUUGCAGAGAUGGGUAAAAGCUCAUUGCUGUUGUUUGUCUCAUGUUCAACAAGAGAUCCAUAUUUUUGCCUCGCCAAGUGUAUCUCCAAUUCUCAUUUAAUGGGGAAAUGUGUGUUCAAUAUAUAUGUGUGUUUAACUUCCCAAAAGAUUUUUUCUCUUACUUUUUUUCGCUUCUUGGAGCAUGAUAUUUGAGGGUGUCAAAAGUGCAUCAAGUUGUAUAAAAAAGUGUCAAAAGUGAUAUUUGAGGGUGUCAUAAUGACUUUCAUUGUAUCUUGGUUUGAAAAUGAAUAUUCAUGAUUUUUUUUGAA